rnacentral:lncRNA from 1 species
UUUGAAGUUGCCAGUGGGUCUUUUCACCGUUUGCUAGUGAUUUGUUCCCCGGAUCAUUGAUUGUUUAUCAAUGUAUCCCCAGCCAGUCCCUGUGGAUAAUUGCCGGAUGCUUGCAAUACAUUCCCAGCGGAUCGUCUUUCAUUUACCCGUUUGCUUGGUAAUGAUUGUUGCUCCCUUUGAUUGGUCAUCAUUAUAUACCUAGUUU